rnacentral:rRNA from 1 species
AUUGAACGCUGGCGGCAUGCUUUACACAUGCAAGUCGAACGGCAGCGCGGGGCAACCUGGCGGCGAGUGGCGAACGGGCGAGUAAUACAUCGGAACGUACCCAGAAGUGGGGGAUAACGUAGCGAAAGUUACGCUAAUACCGCAUACGUUCUACGGAAGAAAGUGGGGGACCUUCGGGCCUCAUGCUUUUGGAGCGGCCGAUGUCUGAUUAGCUAGUUGGUGAGGUCAAGGCUCACCAAGGCGACGAUCAGUAGCUGGUCUGAGAGGCCGACCAGCCACACUGGGACUGAGAAACGGCCCAGACUCCUACGGGAGGCAGCAGUGGGGAAUAUUGGGCAAUGGGCGCAAGCCGGCUCCAGCAAUGGCGCGGGAGUGAAGAAGGCCUGCGGGUUGUAAAGCUCUUUUGUCAGGGAAGAAACGGCUGAGGUUAAUACCUUCGGCUAAUGACGGUACCUGAAGAAUAAGCACCGGCUAACUACGUGCCAGCCGCCGCAGUAAUAC